UGCGUAGGCGGGCUAAUAAGUCAGUGGUGAAAUCUUUCGGCUCAACCGAGAAACUGCCAUUGAUACUGUUAGUCUUGAGUUCGGUUGAGGUAGGCGGAAUGUGUAAUGUAGCGGUGAAAUGCUUAGAUAUUACACAGAACACCAAUUGCGUAGGCAGCUUACUAUGCCGACACUGACGCUGAGGCACGAAAGCGUGGGGAGCGAACAGGAUUAGAUACCCUGGUAGUCC
rnacentral:rRNA from 1 species